rnacentral:rRNA from 1 species
GAUGAACGCUGGCGGCGUGCCUAACACAUUCAAGUCGAACGGAGUUAAUUUGGAAGCUUGCUUUCGAAUUAACUUAGUGGCGGACGGGUGAGUAAUGCAUGAGCAACCUGCCUUAAAGGAGGGGGGAAUAACACGGUAGAAAACCGUGCUAAUACCGCAUGUUUUAUGUUGAGGGCAUCCUCGAUAUAAUAAAGGAGCAAUCCGCUUUAAGAUGGGCUCAUGUCUGAUUAGAUAGUUGGUGAGGUAACGGCUCACCAAGUCUACGAUCAGUAGCCGGACUGAGAGGUUGAACGGCCACAUUGGAACUGAGAUACGGUCCAGACUCCUACGGGGAGGCAGCAGGUGGGGGAUAUUGGUCAAUGGGGGAAACCCUGAACCAGCGACGCCGCGUGAGGGAAGAAGGUUAUUUGAUUGUAAACCUCUGUCGUCAGGGAAGAAAAUGACGGUACCUGACAAGGAAGCACCGGCUAACUACGUG